GACACGGCCCAGACUCCUACGGGAGACAGCAGUUAGGAAUAUUCGUCAAUGGGGGAAACCCUGAACGAGCAAUGCCGCGUGAAGGAAGACGGUCCUCUGGAUUGUAAACUUCUGUUGUUAGGGAAGAACGACCUGUGUAGGAAAUGACAUAGGAGUGACGGUACCUUUCAAGAAAGCUCCGGCUAACUACGUGCCAGCAGCCGCGGUAAUACGUAGGGAGCGAGCGUUAUCCGGAAUUAUUGGGUGUAAAGCGUGUGUAGGCGGGAAAUUAAGUCUAAGGUCUAAGCCCGGAGCUCAACUCCGGUUCGCCUUAGAAACUGAUUUUCUUGAGUGUGGUAGAGGCAAACGGAAUUUCUAGUGUAGCGGUAAAAUGCGUAGAUAUUAGAAGGAACACCAGUGGCGAAGGCGGUUUGCUGGGCCACUACUGACGCUGAGACACGAAAGCGUGGGGAGCAAAUAGGAUUAGAUACCCUAGUAGUCCACGCCGUAAACGAUGAGUACUAAGUGUCGGGUUACCGGUGCUGAAGUUAACACAUUAAGUACUCCGCCUGAGUAGUACGGUCGCAAGGCUGAAACUCAAAGGAAUUGACGGGCACCCGCACAAGCGGUGGAGCAUGCUGUUUAAUUCGAAGAUACGCGAAGAACCUUACCUGGGCUUGACAUAACGUCGAAAGCUCUAGAAAUAGAGUCCCUUCUUCGGAAGCGGCGCUACAGGUGGUGCAUGGUUGUCGUCAGCUCGUGUCGUGAGAUGUUCGGUUAAGUCCGAUAACGAGCGCAACCCUUGUCCUUAAUUGCUAACAUUAAGUUGAGAACCUUAAGGAUACUGCCGGCGAUAAGUCGGAGGAAGGUGAGGAUGACGUCAAAUCAUCAUGCCCCUUACGUCCAGGGCUACAGGCGUGCUACAAUGGCCGGUAUAAAGAGAAGCAAUACCGUGAGGUGGAGCAAAUCUCCAAAGCCGGUCCCAGUUCGGAUUGUAGUCUGCAACUCGACUACAUGAAGUUGGAAUCGCUAGUAAUCGUGAAUCAGAAUGUCACGGUGAAUACGUUCCCGGGUGUUGUACACACCGCCCGUCACGCCAUGGGAGUUGGUAAUACCCGAAGCUGGUAGCCUAACCUGUUUACAGGAGGGGGCCAUCGAAGGUAGGAUCAGCGACUGGGGUGAAGUCGUAACAAGGUAUCCCUACGGGAACGUGGGGAUG
rnacentral:rRNA from 1 species